rnacentral:rRNA from 1 species
UGAGGAAUAUUGGUCAAUGGGCGCAGGCCUGAACCAGCCAAGUCGCGUGAGGGAAGACGGUCCUACGGAUUGUAAACCUCUUUUGUCGGGGAGUAACGUGCGGGGCGCGUCCCGUAUUGAGAGUACCCGAAGAAAAAGCAUCGGCUAACUCCGUGCCAGCAGCCGCGGUAAUACGGAGGAUGCGAGCGUUAUCCGGAUUUAUUGGGUUUAAAGGGAGCGUAGGCCGCCUGGUAAGCGUGUUGUGAAAUGUCGUUGCUCAACAACGUCACUGCAGCGCGAACUGCCGGGCUUGAGUGUGCGGAAAGCGGGCGGAAUUUGUGGUGUAGCGGUGAAAUGCUUAGAUAUCACGAGAACUCCGAUUGCGAAGGCAGCUCGCUGUAGCAUUACUGACGCUGAAGCUCGAAGGUGCGGGUAUCGAAC